UCCCGGGUGGCUCAGAGGUUAAAGCGUCUGCCUGCAAUGUGGGAGACCUGGGUUCGAUCCCUGUGUCGGGAA
rnacentral:tRNA from 1 species